GGGGGGGGCUGUUCAAUUAAUUACGCAUUAUCCUAGUCUCUCCACUCUCUCCUCUCUGUCUCUCCCUCUGCGCUGUUCAAAGAAAUUCCUCCACUCUCUCCUGACCAAUCACCUUCACUGCCAUAAACUAUACAGUGAACCCAACAAAUUCUACUCCACUCUUCGUAACCCUUGCUGCAUACCCACUCUAGCUUGUGCAGUUGGUCUUGAACUGGGUGGGCUCGAUUCGUAGAGGCGCCGGUGGGGAUUUUCGGGGGUCUUGAAUUGGUCGGUCUUAAAAUGGAUUAGGCGUGGAGUGAGGGGGGGUUUGGAGAAGAUUGAAAU
rnacentral:misc_RNA from 1 species